GACGAACGCUGGCGGCGUGCUUAACACAUGCAAGUCGAACGGAAAGGCCCUGCUUUUGUGGGGUGCUCGAGUGGCGAACGGGUGAGUAACACGUGAGUAACCUGCCCUUGACUUUGGGAUAACUUCAGGAAACUGGGGCUAAUACCGGAUAGGAGCUCCUGCUGCAUGGUGGGGGUUGGAAAGUUUCGGCGGUUGGGGAUGGACUCGCGGCUUAUCAGCUUGUUGGUGGGGUAGUGGCUUACCAAGGCUUUGACGGGUAGCCGGCCUGAGAGGGUGACCGGCCACAUUGGGACUGGGAUACGGCCCAGACUCCUACGGGAGGAAUGAGUGGGGAAUAUUGCACAAUGGGCGGAAGCCUGAUGCAGCAACGCCGGGUGCGGGAUGACGGCUUUCGGGUUGUAAACCGCUUUCGCCUGUGACGAAGCGUGAGGGAGGGAAAUGGGUAAAGAAGCACCGGCUAACUACUU
rnacentral:rRNA from 1 species